rnacentral:lncRNA from 1 species
UAGGAAGUUAGUUUAUGGUCAAUUGUAUUUUUUUAGGUAACGAUGGAAUUGGAUUUUUUGUAGGCAUUUUAUAUUGGUGUUUAGAAAUUUAUGUUAUUUUUAGAUUUAUAGGAAGUGAAGUAAUGGUUAAUUCAAGUUGUAAAAGUCCAUUUUUGCCCGGGCCCAUACCAACAAAAUAACCCAAAUAAUAAAACCCAAAACCUAAAAUCAACCUAGCCCAACAUCCAAGCCCAAUCCCAAAACCCUAGACUCCCACUUGCCUCUUCCCAUUCUCCCAUGUUGUCUGCCACCAGCACCACUCCCACUCUCCCAUGCUGUCUGCCACCACCAUGCCUUUUGCCGCACCUGCAAACAAGCAAAGGAAAAGGACAAAAAAUGGAGCAAUAAACAUUAACAGAAUAUUGUAUUUUUGGCUAUAAAAGCCACAAGCAAAAUCGGACCAAAAAAAAAAAAGAAGAGAAACAAAAAAAAAGAGAAGGGGACUUUUGUAACAAAAAAGAGAAGAUUCGGCUUUUGAAAAAAUUGAAAGAAAUAAAAAAGGGGCUUUAGAAGGUGAUUCACCUUGUUUUUUUUCGUUUUCUUUAUUUUCGUUCUAUUUCGGUUUUUCUAUAGUAUUUCUUUCUCUUUUUUAUUAUCAACACACAUAUAUAUAAGAUAAAAAAAAUAAAAGUAAAAAGGAGUUUACCUGUUUCCGGCGGCGGUGGAAAGAGGAAGAACCGAAAGGUCUCUUUCGAUUUUGGCCCUUUUCGCCGGGAUUUCGGCUUUUCUAACCCCAGAUCUGGACCCUAUUCGCAAAAAGGAGAAAAAGGGAGCUUUUUUUGGUUUUCCAGCCACCGCGAACGGCGGCGUCGUCACCGGCGUCCGGCGACCGGUGCGGUGGUCGAUGGCCGGCAAAGGGGGCUCUUCCUCUCUUUUUACGGACACAAGAACAAUAAAAACAUAAACUUUGAAUCGGAGAAGUAAUUUUCAUUUCUUUAUUUUUGUGUGUUUUUACAUCUAGUUUGAUUUCUUUUUAUUUCUUUCUACUUACGAAAAUAAAAACAAAAGAAAUAAGGAGAGGAGAAACUCACCGGAGUUGGCCGUGACCGUGCCGCCGGGGUUUUUCUUCCAUCGUCGGCCGUCGGUCUUGGUGGCGUGGUGGCACUCAAGGUGUUAAGAAACCCAAGUGUUGGGUGUUUAAAAAAAAUGGUGGUUUGAAAAAAAGCAGAGCCUUUUUCCUCUAGCAAAUUCAAAAAGUGAAAGAAUAAAAAUAUAAAACAUUUUUUGUCUUUUUUUUCAAUCAUGAACGGUGCAUUAGUGGGAAAUCUUGCACAUGCUUGUCCUUAAUGGGUAAUUUAUGCAUUUAGUCCCUCCAUCUUGCGUUGAAAUGCAAUCAAACCUUUUAUUUUUUUUGAUUUGGGCCGCGAGUUUUGUUUCUGUUUCAAUCAGGUCCUUUGACCAUGUAUGGUCCUUUGCGCUGAAACGUUGCACUCUAGGACUAGGGAAUAUUUCCCUUUUCAGUCCUUCCCUUUUCGCGCGCCUCACAUUUUAAUCCUUUACUCUAUUUCAUUUUUGAUUUCAGCCCUGAGAUUUCGUUUCCGUUUUGAUUUAGUCCUAUUAUUAUUAUUAUUAUUAUUAUUAUUAUUAUUAUUAUUAUUACCUAUUUGUUUAUAUUUAUUUUAUUUAAUUUUCGGCACAUAUAUACAUAUACAUGCAUAUAUUUUUGUGAUAUACAUACAUUGUUUUUAUAACAUAUAUACUUAUAUAGUUUAUAUAUUUUACAACUUAUGUACAUAUCUAUAUAUCUAUAUAUAUAUUUUCAUUUUCCUAAAUAUAUACAUAUUUAUAUAUAAUCUUUAUAGUUUAAAAUAUACUUUUUUUAUAAAUCCGUAUAUACACACAUAUUACUAUUAAUUUAUAUACAUACAUAUCCUUUUAUUUUAUAAGUAUAUAUAUUUUAUAUGCACGUACAUACAUAUUUUUGUAUAUCUUAAUUUACAUAAAUAUAUAUAUACAUUUUCAAUAUAUUUUUUUAACAUGUAUCAAAAUUAACGUGUUUAUUCGUAUACAUACAUAUAUUUUCAUUAUUUUUAAACUUUAAUUUGUACAUACAUACUUUCUUUUAUUUUUUAACAUAUAUAUGUACUUACUUUUAUAUGUAUUUUAUUAUUUUCAUAUUCCAUAGUUUUAUACACCCAUAUAUAUGUACAUAUUUUUAUAUAUACACAUUUAUCGUUUCUUUUAUAUAUUAAAACAUACUUUAUACAUUUUGUUAAUUUAUAUAUAUACAUAUUUUAGUUUAUGUCUAUAUAUAUCUUUUUAUAUUUAAUGGUAUUUGUUACUUAUUUAUUUCAUUUUCGUCAUUAUGAAUGUUUUAAUUUAUUUGUUUAUAUAUAUUGUUAUUUUAUAUGAUUGUAGGUAUGACUUCUAUUUAUUUUAUAUUGUUGCUAUUGCUCGUAUUAUUUUUUAUUUUUAUGUGUAUUAUGAUUUUACCACGUAUAACAACAAUGUAAUUUGCUUUCACAUUUUUUACUACGAUUUUCGUGUUUUAUUUUACUCGAUAUAACAAAAUUUGUUUUAAAAAUAUUUCGUGUUUAGAUUCGAAAGGAUCGUACUCUAACUUACUGGGUUUCGAUUUUCAUAAUAAAUCUAAAUACACGAAUCUUUUCAAACUCAAGUUUUUAAACGAUCUCGGGAAUUAAGAAAAGAUCGUGCCCUAACUUACUGGGCCUGAUUUAUUUCUAAAACCAAGAUAAUAAAAUAUCUUUUAAAUAAGCAUUUUUCAUCCGCGUAUCGGGAAUUUGAGACAUUGUGUCCUAACUUACUAGAUAUGAUUCUCUUUCUCGAAUAACGUGAAAUAUCCCCUUUUUCCUGAAAAUUUUUAACGUUUUAAUACAAGGGUCGUAUUUUUAAAAUUCUUCAAGGUUCUCAAUUUUUGACAUUAAGACAUUAAGUAAUCAACUAGGUACCAAUUUUGGGCGUAUCGAGGGUGCUAAUCCUUCCUCGUGCGUAACCGACUCCCGAACCCGUUUUUCUAAAUUUCGUGGACCAAACUUGUUGUUUUAAUAAAAUCAAACCGUUUAUUAAAAACAACCCCUCUUUGAGGUGAUCCAAUCGCACCUCAUAAAAAAAGAGGAUUACAUUGCUCGGUUCGUCUCACAACUGACAGAUAAAUGUGAUCCAGUAUUCCGGCUCUUAAAGAAACAUAAUCCGGGUGAAUGGGAUGAAGAGUGUCAGAGGGCUUUCGAUAAGAUAAAGCAGUACUUGGCUAAUACCCUAGUCUUAUCACCUCCAAGUCCAGAUAGGCCAUUGAUAUUGUAUCUAACAGUGUUGGAGAAUUCCAUGGGAUGCGUAUUGGGCCAACAUGAUGAGACAGGAAAGAAAGAAAGGGCAAUAUACUACCUCAGUAAAAAAUUUACCGAUUGCGAAAUUAGGUACUCAUCAAUUGAGAAGUUGUGUUGCGCUCUAAUCUGGGCAACCCGAAGACUGAGGCAGUAUAUGUUGUAUCACACGACUUGGCUGAUUUCAAAGUUAGAUCCUUUAAAGUAUAUGAUGGAAUCGACUGCUUUGAACGGGAGAAUGGCUAGAUGGCAGAUCUUGCUUUCAGAAUUUGAUAUAGUAUAUGUCAGUCAGAAGGCCAUAAAGGGAAGUGCAAUAGCCGAUUUCCUAGCUAGUAGAGCCUUGGAGGACUAUGAAUCUUUGAAUUUUGAUUUUUCAAACGAGGACUUGAUGUAUGUGGCGAAUACUGAAGAAAAUCCUCAAAUGGAUCACGUAUGGAAGUUAAAUUUUGAUGGAGCUUCAAAUGCUACGGGUAAUGGAGUUGGGGCAGUUUUGGUAUCCCCAAGUGGAGAUCAUUAUCCUGUUGCUAGCAAGUUGGACUUCGAUUGUACAAAUAACAUGGCAGAAUAUGAAGCAUGUAUUAUGGGCAUUCGUGCAGCCAUUGAACGGAACAUCAAAGUACUGAGAGUAUACGGGGAUUCAGCGUUGGUGAUAUACCAACUCAAAGGGGAGUGGGAGACUAGGGAUCCUAAGCUAAUCGGUUAUAGAAAAUUAGUUCUUGAAUUGGCUGAGGAGUUUGACGAUAUCACCUUCUAUUACCUCCCAUGGGAGGAAAACCAAAUGGCUGAUGCUUUAGCUACUCUAGCUUCGAUGAUUCAGGUGAAUAGACUUGAGGCAAUGAGGCCUGUUCAGAUGAGUAUCUCUGAGACCCCGGCUAAUUGCUGCAAUAUUGAGGAGGAGGGAAAAGAUGAUUGUCCUUGGUAUCAGAGUAUCCUACAAUAUGUGAAGAAUCGGGAAUACCCUGAUCAAGCGACAGAGAAUGACAAAAGAACUCUGAGAAAGAUAGCCAUUGAAUAUGUCUUAGAUGGAGAAGUGUUAUAUAAAAGAAGGAAGGAUCAAGUACUGUUAAGGUGUGUGGAUGCUGUGGAAGCCAAGAAAAUUUUGGAAGAAGUCCAUGAGGGUAUUUGUGGGACGCACGCCAGUGGUUUCACGAUGGCCAGACAGAUCAUGAGAUUUGGGUACUAUUGGCCCACCAUGGAAGGAGAUUGUAUUGAUUAUGCCAGGAAGUGCCACAAAUGCCAAAUUUACGGAGACAAAAUACACGUGCCCCCUUCACCUCUUCACGUCAUGACCUCUCCUUGGCCGUUUUCCAUGUGGGGUAUGGAUGUUAUUGGGCCAAUAUCACCAAAGGCUUCUAAUGGGCAUCGCUUCAUCUUCGUAGUAAUUGAUUACUUUACUAAGUGGGUGGAGGCUGCUUCAUAUGCAAAUGUCACGAAAGCAGUAGUCAGCAAAUUCUUGAAGAAGGAGAUCAUUUGUCGAUAUGGAAUGCCUGAGAGGAUCAUAUCCGACAAUGCGAUGAACUUGAAUAAUAGCACAAUAGCUGAAGUUUGUAGCAAAUUUAAAAUUAAGCAUCAUAACUCAUCGCCGUAUCGUCCCAAAAUGAAUGGUGCAGUGGAGGCGGCCAAUAAGAACAUUAAAAGGAUUGUGGGGAAAAUGACUGAAACCUACAAGGAUUGGCAUGAGAAAUUAUCAUUUGCUCUCCUUGCCUAUCGAACAUCUGUUAGAACUUCUACUGGGGCAACGCCUUUUUCUCUGGUUUAUGGAAUGGAGGCAGUAUUACCCAUUGAAGUUGAAAUCCCUUCUCUACGGGUGUUAUCUGAGCUACAGUUGGAUGAAGCCGAUUGGAUCCAAUCUCGGUACGAUCAGUUGAACCUAAUAGAAGAAAAGAGGCUAAAAGCUAUUCACCAUGGGCAAAUGUACCAGAAACGAAUGAUGCGAGCCUAUAAUAAAAAGGUUCGCCCCCGAGAAUUUCGUGAAGGGGACUUGGUACUAAAAAAGAUUCUUCCUAUGCAAAAGGAUUUUAGAGGAAAAUGGAUGCCAAAUUGGGAAGGCCCUUAUGUUGUAAAGAAGGCCUUUUCUGGUGGAGCUUUGAUCCUAUGCGAGAUGGAUGGCAAAAGUUUACCAAAUCCUGUAAACGCAGACUCCGUCAAGAAAUACUUCACUUGAAAGAAAGAGGAACCAAAGUGAAAACCCGUGAAGGGCGCUUUGCUUCCUAAAAAAAAAAAAACUUUAGAGAGGCUAAGGUGAAAACCCGUAAAGGGCACUUUGAGACCAAAGAGGGCUUGAGUCGAAAACCCGGAAAAGGCGACUCAAGUACUGGGCAGGAUUGGAACAUCAGGAUUUGAGCGGAUCAAAUUUUGAUCGGGGGCAUAUGAUUAUCUUGCUUUACUUGAACCAAUAAGAAAGGAUAUGCAACGUCUUGGAUCAUGGACAGAGUAUUGCAGAUCUCCUGAACACAUGUCAAACUCAGAAGGGUCUUCGGAAAGUUUGUACAGAGAAACUCAAGCUGCGAUAACUAGGGCACCUAGUUCUUAUGUGUAUUCUUGAAAAUACAUUCUUUUAUUUUCUUUCUUUCUUCCUUUCUUUUUGUGAAAACGCACAUUCUCAAUCCACUUCUUUGUUAACCUUCUUUCGCCAUCUUUGAUGUUUUAUUCGAGUUAUGAUCGGAACUAGCUUUAUUCUUAUCCAGUGUUGUGAUCUUUUUGCAAAUAUGUUGCAUAGGAAUAAUGAUUAACAAACUAAUAAAACUUUCAGGAAAGAAGUUUUGCACAUUACUCUGGAAAAUUUCUAAAUAAUAUAGGGACCUGAAACAUGACUAUUGUUUAGAAAAUACCAAGUUUAAAGGGUGAAAUAUCUAAGAAGGAAGAGUCUAAGUUAAAGACUAUCCUUUCAGAUUUUGUUGUCUAAACAUUGAUUGAACAAAAUGACAAGCUGUCGUGUUACAAAGCUUAAAUGAACAAGCAAGCAAUGAUCAUCAGGCAAUAGGAAGAGGUUACCUCGGAGAAGAGAGCCUUCACUUGCGCAUAAGACUUUGGUACGACACCUUGAGAAUGGUGUAGGAAACCAGAACGGUUCAGAUCCUAUAUCCCCGAAUUGUGAUAAAAGAGGACAGAGGAAAAGCCACAUAUUUCUACCCUUAGAUUACUGUGAGAGAAUGAUGGUACAAAUUUUGGCAUCCCAGUGGAUAUAACUUUGAGGUUUACAAUGGGGACAGUCUGGCUAAAUGUUUCUUCAGAAAAGUCAGUCAAGCGAGAAGGCGUUGAAGCACGUCAGUCACAAAGCCUUAGUAAACUUCGAGUAAUGACAACCUAAGCGAGAUCAUUCUCGGAAAAAUAAAAUUCUGCAUUCAUGCAAACACCAUUCACAUAUGUCUAGUUAGGAGCAUUUGUUUCAUUUUGAUCAUGUCAUCCUAAUCAUUAGGCAUAAUUAGGUUUAUUAUACAGGUCUUAUCUCCCUGAGUUUACAGUGGAGUAGACCGAAAAAUUUCAGAUCUUAUCUCCCUGAGGUUACAGUGGAGCAGAUUGAAGCCAGAGAUCUUAUCUCUCUGAAAUUACAGCGGAGUAGAUUGAAGCUAGUAAUCCUAUCUCUCUGAAGUUACAGUGGAGCGGAUUAAAAUAAAGGAUCUUAUCUCUCUGAAGUUACAGUAGAGUAGAUCACAUCAGAUUGAAGCCAGAGAUCUUAUCUCCCUGAGAUUACAGUGGAACAGACCGAAAAAUUUCAGAUCUUAUCUCCCUGAGGUUACAGUGGAGCAGAUUGAAGCCAGAGAUCUUAUCUCUCUGAAAUUACAGCGGAGUAGAUUGAAGCUAGUAAUCCUAUCUCUCUGAAGUUACAGUGGAGCGGAUUAAAAUAAAGGAUCUUAUCUCUCUGAAGUUACAGUAGAGUAGAUCACAUCAGAUUGAAGCCAGAGAUCUUAUCUCCCUGAGAUUACAGUGGAACAGACCGAAAAAUUUCAGAUCUUAUCUCCCUGAGGUUACAGUGGAGCAGAUUGAAGCCAGAGAUCUUAUCUCUCUGAAAUUACAGCGGAGUAGAUUGAAGCUAGUAAUCCUAUCUCUCUGAAGUUACAGUGGAGCGGAUUAAAAUAAAGGAUCUUAUCUCUCUGAAGUUACAGUAGAGUAGAUCACAUCAGAUUGAAGCCAGAGAUCUUAUCUCCCUGAUGUUGCAGUGGAACAGACUGAAAACAUAAAUUUCGUUCCCUUGCGAAGGAGAUUAAAGCUACAAAUUAGAUCGAAGCAACAAGGCACAGUGGACGGAAUAAGGCUACCUGAAGAAGAGAAGUGUCAAAAAAAAGUCAAGACUCGGCAAGACCAGGCAAAAUUGGCCCUUUUGAUGUCUUUGCUCUAUUCUCGUUACACGAAAAUGAGCAAAGAGGGGCAACUGUAAAAGUCCAUUUUUGCCCGGGCCCAUACCAACAAAAUAACCCAAAUAAUAAAACCCAAAACCUAAAAUCAACCUAGCCCAACAUCCAAGCCCAAUCCCAAAACCCUAGACUCCCACUUGCCUCUUCCCAUUCUCCCAUGUUGUCUGCCACCAGCACCACUCCCACUCUCCCAUGCUGUCUGCCACCACCAUGCCUUUUGCCGCACCUGCAAACAAGCAAAGGAAAAGGACAAAAAAUGGAGCAAUAAACAUUAACAGAAUAUUGUAUUUUUGGCUAUAAAAGCCACAAGCAAAAUCGGACCAAAAAAAAAAGAAGAGAAACAAAAAAAAGAGAAGGGGACUUUUGUAACAAAAAAGAGAAGAUUCGGCUUUUGAAAAAAUUGAAAGAAAUAAAAAAGGGGCUUUAGAAGGUGAUUCACCUUGUUUUUUUUUCGUUUUCUUUAUUUUCGUUCUAUUUCGGUUUUUCUAUAGUAUUUCUUUCUCUUUUUUAUUAUCAACACACAUAUAUAUAAGAUAAAAAAAAUAAAAGUAAAAAGGAGUUUACCUGUUUCCGGCGGCGGUGGAAAGAGGAAGAACCGAAAGGUCUCUUUCGAUUUUGGCCCUUUUCGCCGGGAUUUCGGCUUUUCUAACCCCAGAUCUGGACCCUAUUCGCAAAAAGGAGAAAAAGGGAGCUUUUUUUUGGUUUUCCGGCCACCGCGAACGGCGGCGUCGUCGCCGGCGUCCGGCGACCGGUGCGGUGGUCGAUGGCCGGCAAAGGGGGCUCUUCCUCUCUUUUUACGGACACAAGAACAAUAAAAACAUAAACUUUGAAUCGGAGAAGUAAUUUUCAUUUCUUUAUUUUUGUGUGUUUUUACAUCUAGUUUGAUUUCUUUUUAUUUCUUUCUACUUACGAAAAUAAAAACAAAAGAAAUAAGGAGAGGAGAAACUCACCGGAGUUGGCCGUGACCGUGCCGCCGGGGUUUUUUCUUCCAUCGUCGGCCGUCGGUCUUGGUGGCGUGGUGGCACUCAAGGUGUUAAGAAACCCAAGUGUUGGGUGUUUAAAAAAAAUGGUGGUUUGAAAAAAAGCAGAGCCUUUUUC